UACGUAGGGUGCAAGCGUUGUCCGGAAUUAUUGGGCGUAAAGAGCUCGUAGGCGGCUUGUCGCGUUGUCCGUGAAAACUCACAACUCAAUUGUGGGCGUGCGGGCGAUACGGGCAGACUGGAGUACUGCAGGGGAGACUGGAAUUCCUGGUGUAGCGGUGGAAUGCGCAGAUAUCAGGAGGAACACCGGUGGCGAAGGCGGGUCUCUGGGCAGUAACUGACGCUGAGGAGCGAAAGCGUGGGGAGCGAACAGG
rnacentral:rRNA from 1 species